rnacentral:rRNA from 1 species
CAUGUAGGCGGCAUGGCAAGUUUGGUGUGAAAUAUCCCGGCUUAACCGGGAAAACGUGCUGAAAACUACCAAGCUAGAGUAUAGGAAGGGAAGCUAGAAUUCCUAGUGUAGGGGUGAAAUCUGUAGAUAUUAGGAAGAAUACCGGUGGCGAAGGCGAGCUUCUGGCCAUAUACUGACGCUGAUAUGCGAAAGCGUGGGGAGCGAACA